AUAGGGAGGAUGCAAGCGUUAUCCGGAUUUAUUGGGUUUAAAGGGUGCGUAGGCGGAUGAUUAAGCGUGAGGUGAAAUGCCACUGCUCAACAGUGGAGCUGCCUCGCGAACUGGUUGUCUUGAAUGACUCUGCCGUGGGAGGAAUGUGUAGUGUAGCGGUGAAAUGCUUAGAGAUUACACAGAACACCGAUUGCGAAGGCAUCUCACGAAGGGUUGAUUGACGCUGAGGCACGAAAGCGUGGGGAUCAAACAGGAUUAGAUACCCUGGUAGUUCACGCAGUAAACGAUGAUGGCUAACCGCUGGAUCCAUCAGUUCAGUGGCCAAGCGAAAGCGAUAAGCCAUCCACCUGGGGAGUACGACCGCAAGGUUGAAACUCAAAUGAAUUGACGGGG
rnacentral:rRNA from 1 species